AGCGUUCUCAUGUACAAUCCACCUCACCUCUUGUGCACCACCGCGUGGGCCCUUGAAAAGGCUUGCGUUUUUCACACAAACAUACUUAUAGUUUAGAAUGUCAUUCAUUUGCGAUCACACGCAAUCAAUACAACUUUCAACAAUGGAUCUCUUGGCUCUCGCAUCGAUGAAGAACGCAGCGAAAUGCGAUACGUAAUGUGAAUUGCAGAAUUCAGUGAAUCAUCGAAUCUUUGAACGCACCUUGCGCCCCUUGGCAUUCCGAGGGGCACACCCGUUUGAGUGUCGUGAAAUUCUCAAACCUUCUUGGUUUCUUGACCAAGUUGGCUUUGGACUUUGGAGGUUGCUGGCUUUGCAAAAAGCCAGCUCCUCUUAAAUACAUUAGUAGGGUCUCCUUUGCCGAUCCCCAGGCGUGAUAAGUCGCUUCUACGUCUUGGGAUUUGCUCUGUUCCUUGAGAACCUGCUUCCAACCGUCUCAUUAAAGACAUCGUUCGAGCUUGCUCG
rnacentral:rRNA from 1 species